rnacentral:rRNA from 1 species
AACGAACGCUGGCGGCAGGCUUAACACACGCAAGUCGAGCGCCCCGAAAGGGGAGCGGCAGACGGGGGAGUAACGCGUGGGGACGUACCCUUUGCUACGGAACAGAUCCGGGAAAAAGGCAUUAAUACCGUCUGUGCCCUCCGGGGGACACAUCUAUCGGCAAAGGAUCGGCCCGCGUUGUAUUAGCUAGUUGGUGGGGUAAUGGCCGACCAAGGCGACGAACAGUAGCUGGUCUGAGAGGAUGACCAGCCACAUUGGGACUGGGACACGGCCCAAACUCCUACGGGAGGCAGCAGUGGGGAAUCUUGCGCAAUGGGCGAAAGCCUGACGCAGCCAUGCCGCGUGGAUGAUGAAGGUCUUAGGAUUGUAAAAUCCUUUCACCGGUGAAGAUAAUGACUGUAGCCGGAGAAGAAGCCCCGGCUAACUUCGUGCCAGCAGCCGCCGCGGUAA